UAGGGCGGCGGUCUGUAAAUAAUAGAGUCUGGACCAGACAAUCCGGUGAUCAACAGCAUGAGCAUCGAUCUACGCAAUUGGGAACCGAUGACAUGUGUCAA